CGGCCCCGGCCCAGCCCCGAGCCCGAGGAAGCCCCGGCGCGUCCCCCCCGCAGCCAUGGCAGGGCUGGUGGUGAGCGGAGCACAAGUGUCCUAUAUUAGUCAAGACUGUGAAGAAAUUCCAGAAUUCCUAGGAAGAAAAUAUGGACAUAUGGCAAAAAGGCUAGAUCUUAGCUUCAACUUGUUAAGAGGGGAGCUCACUUCAGUGUCAAGAAAUAUUUUACACCUCUUACUAUUAGAGCAAAGGAUUUUCAAACAAGAUUAAUAUCUGACUUAGCAACAAUCAACAAACAGUGCUCGUUGGAACUGUCUUGGCCUUCCAGUCCUGCAAAGUUUAUAUUUCAAGCUUUUCAGUUGUCUUUGGAUGUGAAUAUAAUUUAUGUUAAGCUAGAAAAUGCAUAAUGAUGUUCAUGUGCUAAAUUGCAGUGGUUUUAUCAUAAGCAUGUAUUUAUGAAAAUACACCUGUAUUAGUAUCUGGGACCAGACACUGUUACACUAGAAAGGUAUAGCUGUGAUUCUGUCUUCUCCAGUUGUUUCUUAAAUUAGUGUUCCAGCUACAAGCAGCCAACGCGUAUUCGUCCUAGUAAUUUGCCAGCAUGAAGUGUAUAUUUGGAGUUUGCAUGUUCUUAGGUUAUCUUUUAUAAAGGAAAAUGUGUGGGAAGAAGGGCAACUACCAGUAAAAUUGUUUAGUAUUUUGUGAACUGUCUAAUGUUAAGGAUUUAAAAAAGCGAUAAUUCACUUAUAGUUGUGGUAACUAGCUAUAUACAUUUCCAUUCAUGCCUGACAACCCCUUCAACAGGUAGAGUUCCAAUGCUUACAGUACUUAUUGCAUCUCUGCUUCAGGGAUUGCUUUCUUCUUGGCUAGAUCAUGUUGAAGCUUGAUG
rnacentral:lncRNA from 1 species